rnacentral:tRNA from 1 species
GGGCUCGUAGCUCAGCUUGGAUAGAGCAUCGGCCCUCUAAGCCGGGGGUCGUGGGUUCGAAUCCCUCCGGGCCCG